GACGAACGCUGGCGGCGUGCUUAACACAUGCAAGUCGAACGAAGUGGCGAACGGGUGAGUAACGCGUAAUCAACCUGCCCUUCAGAGGGGGACAACAGUUGGAAACGACUGCUAAUACCGCAUACUGAAGGAGGCGAUUGCGUCGGAUUCGCUAGUGGGAGGGGUAACGGCCCACCAAGGCGAUGAUCAGUAGCCGGGAUGAGAGGAUGGACGGCCAAAAUGGGACUGGGAAACGGGCCAGACUCCGACGGGAGGCAGCAGUGGGGAAACUUCCGAAAUGGACGGAAGGCUGACGGAGCAAAGCCGCGGGAGUGAUGACGGGCUUCGGGUUGUAAAGCUCUGUUAAGCGGGACGCGGUACCGGAAGAGAAAGCCACGGCUAACUACGUGCCAGCAGCCGCGGUAAUUC
rnacentral:rRNA from 1 species